GCUGGUGUGAUAGCUCAAUUGGUUGGGCAUGAGACUCUUAAUCUCAGGGUUGUGGGUUCAAGCCCCAUGUUGGGCA